rnacentral:rRNA from 1 species
CCUACGGGAGGCAGCAGUGGGGGAUAUUGCACAAUGGGGGAAACCCUGAUGCAGCGACGCCGCGUGAGUGAAGAAGUAUUUCGGUACGUAAAGCUCUAUCAGCAGGGAAGAAUAAUGACGGUACCUGACUAAGAAGCCCCGGCUAACUACGUGCCAGCAGCCGCGGUAAUACGUAGGGGGCAAGCGUUAUCCGGAUUCACUGGGUGUAAAGGGAGCGUAGACGGCGACGCAAGUCUGGAGUGAAAGCCCGGGGCCCAACCCCGGGACUGCUCUGGAAACUGCGUCGCUGGAGUACGGGAGGGGCG